rnacentral:rRNA from 1 species
GACGAACGCUGGCGGCGUGCUUAACACAUGCAAGUCGAACGGAGCGAAUGAAAGCUUGCUUUUAUGAGCUUAGUGGCAAACGGGUGAGUAACACGUAGACAACCUGCCGACAGGAUGGGGACAACAUUCCGAAAGGAAUGCUAAUACCGAAUGAAGCGGAUGGGAGGCAUCUCCUAUCCGUGAAAGAUGGCCUCUUUUAAUGCUAUCACCUGUCGAUGGGUCUGCGUCUGAUUAGCUAGUUGGUGAGGUAACGGCUCACCAAGGCGACGAUCAGUAGCCGGUCUGAGAGGAUGAACGGCCACAUUGGGACUGAGACACGGCCCAGACUCCUACGGGAGGCAGCAGUGGGGAAUCUUCCGCAAUGGGCGCAAGCCUGACGGAGCAACGCCGCGUGAGUGAAGAAGGUCUUCGGAUCGUAAAGCUCUGUUGACGGGGACGAACGUGCAAAGGGUGAAUAAUCCUUUGCAA